UAACACAUGCAAGUCGAACGAGAAGCUAGGGGCUUGCUCCUAGUGGAAAGUGGCGAACGGGUGAGUAACGCGUGGGCAACGCACCCAGUGGCUGGGGAUAACUCGGGGAAACCUGAGCUAAUACCGAAUGUGUUCACCGAGUCCUUGGGCUUGGUGAAGAAAGAGGGGCAACUCUCACCACUGGAUCGGCCCGCGUCCCAUCAGCUUGUUGGUGUGGUAACGGCGCACCAAGGCAACGACGGGUAGCUGGUCUGAGAGGAUGAUCAGUCACACUGGAACUGAGACACGGUCC
rnacentral:rRNA from 18 species